rnacentral:rRNA from 1 species
UACGGGGGGGGGCAAGCGUUGUUCGGAAUUACUGGGCGUAAAGGGCUCGUAGGCGGCCCUCUCAGUCGGAUGUGAAAUCCCCAGGCUUAACCUGGGAACGGCAUCCGAUACUGGAGGGCUUGAAUUCGGGAGAGGGAUGCAGAAUUCCAGGUGUAGCGGUGAAAUGCGUAGAUAUCUGGAGGAAUACCGGUGGCGAAGGCGGCAUCCUGGACCGAGAUUGACGCUGAGGAGCGAAAGCUAGGGGAGCAAACGGGG